UGCAGUCGACGGACCCUUCGGGGUUAGUGGCGGACGGGUGAGUAACACGUGGGAACGUGCCUUUAGGUUCGGAAUAGCUCCUGGAAACGGGUGGUAAUGCCGAAUGUGCCCUUCGGGGGAAAGAUUUAUCGCCUUUAGAGCGGCCCGCGUCUGAUUAGCUAGUUGGUGAGGUAAUGGCUCACCAAGGCGACGAUCAGUAGCUGGUCUGAGAGGAUGACCAGCCACAUUGGGACUGAGACACGGCCCAAACUCCUACGGGAGGCAGCAGUGGGGAAUCUUGCGCAAUGGGCGAAAGCCUGACGCAGCCAUGCCGCGUGAAUGAUGAAGGUCUUAGGAUUGUAAAAUUCUUUCACCGGGGACGAUAAUGACGGUACCCGGAGAAGAAGCCCCGGCUAACUUCGUGCCAGCAGCCGCGGUAAUACGAAGGGGGCUAGCGUUGCUCGGAAUUACUGGGCGUAAAGGGCGCGUAGGCGGACAUUUAAGUCAGGGGUGAAAUCCCAGAGCUCAACUCUGGAACUGCCUUUGAUACUGGGUGUCUUGAGUGUGAGAGAGGUAUGUGGAACUCCGAGUGUAGAGGUGAAAUUCGUAGAUAUUCGGAAGAACACCAGUGGCGAAGGCGACAUACUGGCUCAUUACUGACGCUGAGGCGCGAAAGCGUGGGGAGCAAACAGGAUUAGAUACCCUGGUAGUCCACGCCGUAAACGAUGAUUGCUAGUUGUCGGGCUGCAUGCAGUUCGGUGACGCAGCUAACGCAUUAAGCAAUCCGCCUGGGGAGUACGGUCGCAAG
rnacentral:rRNA from 1 species